rnacentral:rRNA from 1 species
UACGUAGGGUGCAAGCGUUGUCCGGAAUUAUUGGGCGUAAAGAGCUCAUAGGCGGUCUGUCGCGUCGGCUGUGAAAACCCGCGGCUCAACCUCGGGCCUGCAGUCGAUACGGGCAGACUAGAGUGCGGUAGGGGAGACUGGAAUUCCUGGUGUAGCGGUGAAAUGCGCAGAUAUCAGGGAGGAACACCGGUGGCGAAGGCGGGGUCUCUGGGCCGUAACUGACG